rnacentral:lncRNA from 1 species
AAGACACUAGGUUUAAUGCCACUUGAUGUCCAACCUAUGUUCUUUGACACUAGGUUCAUAUCAUCCAUGUUCAACCUAUAUCCAUGACUCUAGGUUUAAUGCCACUCGAUCUAUGUGCAUAUAUAUAUAUGUCCACAUGCCCAUAUCCUUUUCUUAACAUUAGUAUCUCUACAACAUGAUUAUCAAGUAUAUCUUAGUAUUAGCCACAUGCUUACAUUUAGCAUUUCCAUGACAUGCAUCCAACUAACAUUAACCAAUGCAUAUAUUCUAGCAUUUCUAUACCACAUCUUUAGCAUGCAUUUCCUUUAGCAUUUACUACAUGCAUCCAUCUAGCAUUUAUAUGCAUCAACAUGAAUUCAAUUUACUUAGACAUACAGGCGACCUAGUCGCUUCGGUAAGCACAACCCACCUC